GGUGUGUGAGGAGAGCACUAGUUCCUAGAGGUCAGGCAACAGCACAAGCAAAGCCUGUUGGGAAGGGGCACAGGUUAUAAGUGAAACCUGUUGCACAGAACAGUGAGACAGCCAGGGGGAGCAGCGUGUCUGGCAGUUUCUUCAGUCCUCAGUCUGGGGAAGGAGCCAGGGGUGGGAUGUGUCCAGAGGCCUAGAAAAGGCCAGAGACUAGAAAUGAAGCAAGAUGCAGCUGGAGAAGCAGUGGAGCAUGAACUCAAGGUGGAUAUGGAAUGAGGAUACUGUCAUCUCUCAAAACUUUCUGGACAUGAGCCCCAGACCCUUUUUUGGCCUCUUCAGAGUUUCCUGUAUUUCUCCACCUUUGGGUUGGCUGGCUAUGGGCCUGCACUUUGCUGCAGUGUUUCCUGGCCUACAGACUCUCUAAAGAUACUACAGUAUGUCAAGCAACACUUCAAAAAAAGAGAAGAUAUUUCUCUUUACCUCAGAGUCUGUUGCAGAAGGACA